rnacentral:rRNA from 1 species
GACGAAGGAGGGAGGCGUGCUUAACACAUGCAAGUCGAACGGAAAGGCCCUGCUUUUGUGGGGUGCUCGAGUGGCGAACGGGUGAGUAACACGUGAGUAACCUGCCCUUGACUUUGGGAUAACUUCAGGAAACUGGGGCUAAUACCGGAUAGGAGCUCCUGCUGCAUGGUGGGGGUUGGAAAGUUUCGGCGGUUGGGGAUGGACUCGCGGCUUAUCAGCUUGUUGGUGGGGUAGUGGCUUACCAAGGCUUUGACGGGUAGCCGGCCUGAGAGGGUGACCGGCCACAUUGGGACUGAGAUACGGCCCAGACUCCUACGGGAGGCAGCAGUGGGGAAUAUUGCACAAUGGGCGGAAGCCUGAUGCAGCAACGCCGCGUGCGGGAUGACGGCCUUCGGGUUGUAAACCGCUUUCGCCUGUGACGAAGCGUGAGUGACGGUAAUGGGUAAAGAAGCACCGGCUAACUACGUG